rnacentral:rRNA from 1 species
AUUGAACGCUGGCGGCAGGCCUAACACAUGCAAGUCGAGCGAGCGGCGGACGGGUGAGUAAUGUAUGGGGACUGCCCGAUAGAGGGGGAUAACUACUGGAAACGGUGGCUAAUACCGCAUACUAUCGGAUACCCCAUAUGGGAUUAGAUAGUAGGUGGGGUAAAGGCUCACCUAGGCGACGAUCUCUAGCUGGUCUGAGAGGAUGAUGAGUAACUGGGGGGAGGAGACAAGGCCCAGAGUCCUACGGAGGCAGCAGUGGGGAAUAUUGCACAAUGGGCGGAAGCCUGAAGCAGCCAUGCCGCGUGUAGGAAGAAGGCCUAAGGGGUGUAAAGUACGUUCAGCGGGGAAGCGUUACCCGCAGAAUAAGCACCGGCUAACUCCGUGCCAGCAGCCGCGGUAAUAC